GACGAACGCUGGCGGCGCGCCUAACACAUGCAAGUCGAACGAGCGAGAGAGAGCUUGCUUUCUCAAGCGAGUGGCGAACGGGUGAGUAACGCGUGAGGAACCUGCCUCAAAGAGGGGGACAACAGUUGGAAACGACUGCUAAUACCGCAUAAGCCCACGACCCGGCAUCGGGUAGAGGGAAAAGGAGCAAUCCGCUUUGAGAUGGCCUCGCGUCCGAUUAGCUAGUUGGUGAGGUAACGGCCCACCAAGGCGACGAUCGGUAGCCGGACUGAGAGGUUGAACGGCCACAGUGGGACUGAGACACGGCCCAGACUCCUACGGGAGGCAGCAGUGGGGAAUAUUGCACAAUGGGGGAAACACUGAUGCAGCGACGCCGCGUGGAGGAAGAAGGUCUUCGGAUUGUAAACUCCUGUUGUUGAGGAAGAUAAUGACGGUACUCAACAAGGAAGUGACGGCUAACUACGUG
rnacentral:rRNA from 1 species